GGACAAGACUCCCUGGGUUCAUAGCCUAGGUGCCUAAGGACACAGCGUAGAACUUCCUUAGAUCCCUUUGUCAUUCAAGCACCUUGAGAUUUAUGUCUCCUAUAGAAGAAAUGAAAAAGUUCAUGUUCCACAACUUUACCUCAUACAUAAGCUGAAGACAAGUGCUUCUCUCCAGCAGAUGAAGCAGAACUUCAUUAAUCUAGAAAAUAACAUUAUAUGCAGUCUUAUCCUUGAAAAAUAAUGGGUUCAUAAUUAGGUUGCAUACAGAAUUUUCUAUUUACUAUGUGUAGACACUGUAAUGGAAUCCAGGAGGUCUAAAUGUUAAUUCUUAUCAUGUCAUUCACUAACCACAGCUCCUGACCAAGUAAUUUAAAUGUUCUGGAAAUAUGUUCGUUAUCUAAAUAUAAUUGGUUGGAUCAGGUGCUAUUCUAGGUGCUUCCAGUUCCCAGGAAAUUCUAAGGAUUGAAUAUAUAAUUUUCCUUCCUACAGCGAUAAACUCUUCAAAACAGGCAUGCAUCAAGACUUGCAAAAAUCAAUAAAUGACUAUGGGGAACCAUUAUAUUUUCUUAAACAAUGAAGUUCACCAUGGUAGUUAAGAGCA
rnacentral:lncRNA from 10 species